rnacentral:tRNA from 1 species
ACGGCGAGCUCAACUUCUUCGACGUCUCUGACUUCCUUGCCGCAUACUUGGCAGGCGCGGACUACAACAG